rnacentral:rRNA from 1 species
ACGAACGCUGGCGGCGUGCUUAACACAUGCAAGUCGAACAGAAAGGCCCUGCUUUUGUGGGGUGCUCGAGUGGCGAACGGGUGAGUAACACGUGAGUAACCUGCCCUUGACUUUGGGAUAACUUCAGGAAACUGGGGCUAAUACCGGAUAGGAGCUCCUGCUGCAUGGUGGGGGUUGGAAAGUUUCGGCGGUUGGGGAUGGACUCGCGGCUUAUCAGCUUGUUGGUGGGGUAGUGGCUUACCAAGGCUUUGACGGGUAGCCGGCCUGAGAGGGUGACCGGCCACAUUGGGACUGAGAUACGGCCCAGACUCCUACGGGAGGCAGCAGUGGGGAAUAUUGCACAAUGGGCGGAAGCCUGAUGCAGCAACGCCGCGUGCGGGAUGACGGCCUUCGGGUUGUAAACCGCUUUCGCCUGUGACGAAGCGUGAGUGACGGUAAUGGGUAAAGAAGCACCGGCUAACUACGUG